rnacentral:rRNA from 1 species
GUGGGGAAUAUUGGACAAUGGGCGCAAGCCUGAUCCAGCCAUGCCGCGUGAGUGAUGAAGGCCCUAGGGUUGUAAAGCUCUUUCACCGAUGAAGAUAAUGACGGUAGUCGGAGAAGAAGCCCCGGCUAACUUCGUGCCAGCAGCCGCGGUAAUACGAAGGGGGCUAGCGUUGUUCGGAAUUACUGGGCGUAAAGCGCACGUAGGCGGAUAUUUAAGUCAGGGGUGAAAUCCCAGAGCUCAACUCUGGAACUGCCUUUGAUACUGGGUAUCUCGAGUAUGGAAGAGGUGAGUGGAAUUCCGAGUGUAGAGGUGAAAUUCGUAGAUAUUCGGAGGAACACCAGUGGCGAAGGCGGCUCACUGGUCCAUUACUGACGCUGAGGUGCGAAAGCGUGGGGAGCAAACAGGAUUAGAUACCCGUGUAGUCC